rnacentral:rRNA from 1 species
AUUGAACGCUGGCGGCAGGCCUCACACAUGCAAGUCGAACGAGUGGCGGACGGGUGAGUAAUGUCUGGGAAACUGCCUGAUGGAGGGGGAUAAAUAAUGGAAACGGUAGAUAAUACCGCAUAACAUCAGAUGGGCCCAGAUGGGAUUAGCUUGUUGGGGGGGUAACGUCUCACCAAGGCGACGCUCCCUAGCUGGUCUGAGAGGAUGACCAGCCACACGGGAACUGAGCCACGGUCCCGACUCCGACGGUGUGCAGCAGGGGGGAAUAUUGCACAAUUGGCGCAAGCCUGAUUCAGCCAUGCCGCGUGUAUGAAGAAGGCCUUCGGGUUGUAAAGUACUUUCAGCGGGGAGGCGUUACCCGCAGAAGAAGCACCGGCUAACUCCGUGCCAGCCGCCGCGGUAAUAC